AUGAAACAUAAGCAUGGUACUGGUCUACUAGAAUAUAAUUAAGGUGGAGCCUCACGUUAAUUAUUUGGAUAUGAUUGAAUGAGACAUUAAUGUCCAUAAGUUCUCUACAAUAAUGUUAUGUGCUUUAUUGGGUUAUCCACUCAUCUCCUCAGACUUUAUAUCCAACAACCUAUCAUUUAAGUUUGACAUUUAUUUCAUCUCCUUUUCCCUAAAGCAAACCCCACCCAUAAAAUUUGUUUUCAUCUUAUCCUCUCCUACUAGUUUAAAUUAAGCCAAAACUUCUCAGGUUUGGAUUAUCUUCUCAACGUCUCUUAACUAAGGGAAUAUAGUAAGUAAGCAUUAUAUAGCAUUAUAGUAAGGGUACUUGAAAUUUAACCAUAAUAAAAAAGUUAGUAAUUACAAAGUUAAUUUAUUAACUUAUUUGUAUUGGGUUAUCAGGUAAAUGAUUGAGAAACGGAUACAUUUUUUACAAUUAACUAUUUCUCGGAUGAUGGAUUACUCAAUUUCCUUAUCAGUUCGGGGAUGAAUUAUUCAAUUCCUUAUUGGAUAAACCGUUAAUCCGUUAGGAAUUAUGAUGCUUUCACUUUUACCCCUAGGUAUAUAAGUAUAUAAAGUAUAUAUUAAAUUAUUAUUAAACAAUUACUGCAGAAGUCUGAUCGCGAAUCUUGACUUCUUUUGUGAAACUUUAGUUUGUUCUUGGUCUAAAAUAAUAGUAUAAUACAAAAUCAAUCACAAAUGGCCUAAAUAUUUCUAGAUUAUAUUCAAAUCUCAAAUCUUAGGCCAACCUCAUAUGAUUUUUCCACCCAUUCCAAGGCUUUGCCACCAAUAAUUCACCUAGAAUUAUAAAUUUCAUGGUUAUACAAGUAAUAUAUGAUAAAUAAAUCAAAAAUAAACAUUCUUAAGAUUAGCCCAAGGUCUUACAUCCUAAAAUCCUCAUAAAAUAGGAUAUUCCCUACCUUAGAAUGAAUUCAAACCAUCUCCUAGGACCACAACUAUAUUUUCUAAGGACUAAAGAAUCACACGAGUGUUAGAUUGAUGGAAGGACUUACCUUGAAGAAGAAAAUCUGAAAAACUGAAUAAAUCACUCCUCCCUUGCCCAAGCAUGACCUUGGAUGAGUUUUGGGAGUAAAAUAACGUUUUAGGUCUGAAAAUAACUUUGAAUUUCGUGCAGCCCGCUGUAGCGGCCUAAUUUCCUCUAUACACUACUAAAAAAC
rnacentral:lncRNA from 1 species